GACGAACGUUGGCGGCGUGCUUAAUACAUGCAAGUCAACUGAAGCACCGGUAGUAAUACUGGUGUGGAGGUGGCGCACGGGUGAGUAACACGUAGGUAAUCUGCCUUCAGGUCUGACAUAACCCCGAGAAAUUGGGGCUAAUAGCAGAUGAUGCAGCGGCUUGACAUCAAGACAGUUGUUAAAGCUUCGGCGCCUGAAGAUGAGCCUGCGUCUGAUUAGCUAGUUGGCGGAGUAAUAGCCCACCAAGGCGACGAUCAGUAGCUGGUCUGAGAGGAUGAUCAGCCACACUGGAACUGAGACACGGUCCAGACUCCUACGGGAGGCAGCAGUAAGGAAUAUUGCUCAAUGGGAGAAAUCCUGAAGCAGCAACGCCGCGUGAGGGAUGAAGGGCUUUUGCUCGUAAACCUCUGUAGUGAGGGAAAAAUUUCCAUUCUAUGGAAUAUGAUGGUACCUCAAAAGUAAGCCCCGGCUAACUACGUGCCAG
rnacentral:rRNA from 1 species